GCAGCUAAUAACGAUCGCAAUUCAUUUUGACGGCAAAAAAGCAGAGCUGAGAAUUUUUACUGCAGAAACAUUAGCCAAAGUAAAGGAUCUACGAACGCACUGGCUAGGCCUUUCUCAGCCAUUUUCUAAGUGCCGCAAAAAAGUCUUUGAAACACACUGAGGACAAAUCGGAAGUUGAGACCUUAUGUGAAAGUUGCAGCUACCACAUCCAGUGCUAUCGAAUUUUACGGACAAACGUAAACUCGAGAGAGCGAAAAAAAACCAUUGCUAAUUGUACCAUUAAUCGCCCAGUAGAAGAAAUCGAACACGAAGCAGAUGAAAGGAAUCAAAACCAGCCAGUAAAAGUUGCUCGCUUGAAACGUCAUUCACUUGGAGAAAAAUCGAUCUACUCUACUUAUAAAAGCAUGUCAUCCAACAUAUUACCUGAGGUUUGCUUAACCUGUAAGCGUCCAGGACCCUUAAACAUCACUGAUGCGGUAACAAAAAAGGUAGUCAAAGCAAGAAUUGUCAGGGGCUAAAACUAUUGAUGCUGGUGUCCUAAAACAAGCAGCAGCUUUCGGAAAGAUGAAAGUGUUCUUCUUCAUAUUGAUGGGCAGGAUUGCGUCGCAAUUGAAGCAAAGUAUCACGGACGAUGUUAUUUAGCUUACACUAAAUGUCUAUAUCAAAAACUAAUAACGUUGUUGAGCCAACUUUGUAUGGCAGAGUUUUUGAUAAGUUUUGCGUAGAAGGGAUUUAGAAAAGAAUCAUUCAAAACGGUGAUAUUUUACUGCUCAGCUAUUUGUUAAAAGAGUUUAUCGCUUCUGUGCAUAAAUUAGAAAAUAUUGACGUUCAGUACUGUGCACACUGUUCACUUUAGGGUGUCAAAUCAACACCUUCACUGGUGCUAAUUUGACACCAUAAGGUGGUGUUACAUGAAAAGUGUUGUUUUAACACCGAUAUUAAUGUCGAUUCAGUACAGUCAAAUCUGAUACAACACCACUUUUGGUGUUAAAUUAAAAGUGUUGUUUUAACACCGAUAUUAGUGCUGACUCAGCACCGUCAAAUCUGAUACAACACCACUUUGGAGUUGAUCGUAAACGUGUUGUAGCUGCACCAAUAUGAGUGUUGGGUUUUCUUAUCCAGGGUGCUAAACUAAUAUUAAAUGAGCGAAAUUCGCGUAAGCGUCAUUUACGAAACUAUACAACAAAUACUGGAAAAAUUAAAAAUUACUAUGGCAAAAAAUAGAAUGAGAUUGAAAAUGUAUCAUAUGAGCACGAAGUCAGAGAAGGUCAAUUGUGUAAAUCGUUAAUCACAUUUUACACAAAUUCUUA